rnacentral:misc_RNA from 1 species
UCUCCGUUGGUGAACCAGCGGAGGGAUCAUUACAGAGUUUUCUAACUCCCAAACCCUUUGUGAACUUACUAUUUUGUUGCCUCGGCGGGCCUCUGAGAUUCGUCUCACGUCCGCCGGCGGCCUACAACUCUUCUGCUUCUUAAGCGUUGGCAUCUCCGAGUAAAAACACAAACGAAUCAAAACUUUCAACAACGGAUCUCUUGGUUCUGGCAUCGAUGAAGAACGCAGC